CCGUAAUCCAAUCCUCCCCAUGAGUGUCACACCCUGCGCUCCUGGAAAGGGAAGAGGAGGCAGAGGAGCAGCCGAUCUGACAGACCUAGCGCUGGCACCAUCACCUAUCGCGUUUGCAGGGCGACCCCAGUGUCUGGGAAGAAUGAAGAACUCCAUGAUAUCAGAACUCCAUGAUAUCAGAAGGCUAAUUAAUUACUUUAUUAUACUACAUUAUAUUAAAGAGAUUCAUACUAUACUAUAACUAUACUACAUCAUAUUUACUUCUAACUAACUCCUGAAAAGCUCGUGACUGUCUGCCGACAGUCCCGACACACACACGUGGAUCCAAUUGGUCAAUAAAUCAAAACACCAUCACCAGAAUCCAGUCAAGCAACCCCUUCAGGUAAAGCAUCUUCCAACAGAUUCCACAUGUUCACAAACACAGGAGCAAAUGGGAUAAGAAUUGUUUUGAUCAUUCUUUUCUCUGCUUCUCUCACAGCUUCUGUCUGUUCAGAGGGCACGUGAAUAUCACAAUCACCCAUUCUGGGCUUUUUCCAAAGACAACAAAACACAUGUUUAAUCAGGAGUCAGAGAUCUUAGAGGCCAAAGAUCAGAUUAAAGCUGCUUUUUCAUGGGCAGAAUAGACAAAAGUCUGUAAUAUCUUUAAUUGGACUACAACAUGAAAUUGCAUGUUACAUGCUUGUGCUCACAUCUGGAGGGAUGUGAUUUAGAAUCAUAUAAUCAAAUGCACGGCGUGUUGGUAAAAGAUAGCAUGACAUGCCUGCUUUCCAUUCACACAGCAGCAGAGGCAGUGCAAAGGAACCUUCACCCUCCAACCCAGUGGAGAUCAACACACACUGAUGAGCUUGCUAAAAUUUAAUGAUCUCAUCUUUCCUGUGAUCUCUGCUGAUGCAGAUGCAGUGCAAUGUCUUAUGGUUUGUUUUAUUUUAUUUUAUUUUAUUUUAUUUUAUUUUAUUUUAUUUUAUUUUAUUUUAUUUUUUAUCUAUAAACUUAUAUUACAUAGGAUCUAUCCAGUGAUGGCUAUUUCUCUUUGCACCUUGGGAGAUGAACUAGAUUUUGUCUGAUAACUAAAAAUGAAAGUCUCUGCAUCUCAUUUCUUAUUCCCUGAGGCAUUGAUUUUGGUAUUCUGUAAAGUUAUGGAUUUGAGUGGAGAUUGCUCUGAUGUCCUUACCCAUUCCCCCAGCAGCAGACUCAGAGAAAACUGCAAGGUGCGACUGUUAGUGCAACAAAUCAAAAAUGCCUCUGCAAGCAAGUCAUUGGAAGUACAAAUGGCUCCCACCUCUCCCUUCCUCCUCCUUUUCUUCCUCUUCCCAGUUCCGGUCCCUCUCCCCUAAAAGAAGUUACAAGGCUUUGUGUUUAAUUAAGACAUAUUGUCCAACCAAUUGAGAAGCAGGAAAUAGCAGGAGAUGUUUUACAAAUAGGAACAAUUCUUGUUCAUUAUCCCUUAAUUGAGGCAACAAAAAGGUGCUGGAAAACAUCCAUCAGAUGCACAUUCAUGUACAUCAUCAGAGAGGAUUGGAUUUAGGAACUCACAAAAGCGACGUCAAAUGUUCCAAUCAAGAGUUAUACAAGCAACAGGGAAACAAAGAAUUGGAGACACAAAUACAUCAGAAUUAGCCCAAUUGCAGAUUAUAUGCUUCUGGAAAACACAUUCCCUGGCUCUCUUCCAGGAUUUUCUUAUUUCACACUCCUGUCAUUUCUAGCUGUGUAUGGAAGUCAGUGUCCUUUGUCCCUCCUCUGCUGGCCUUCUUCACAUGAAGGUGUCAUUCUGGAGGGUGUGAGAGACGCCCUUGUGAAGACACCAGAAACUGUCACCCCAGCUUGGACUCGGGAUACUCUGAGGAUGACACUUGGUGCAACUUCUCCAUCCUCGUUCAUUCACAUUUUGAAGUUUGGCUGCUCUGCUAAGACACUAUUCUUGAGCAGAAGAGAUAAAUAACACAAGAGAUAUAAUAACAACCCUCCUGCUGAAGGAAAUAUUUUGUGCCUGGAAGGCCAGGAAAUCCUGUUACUCAUUUAAGUAUGCCUUCUAAAUCUUGCUUGGCCUGCUUCUGAGCUCAUUUACACUCUAACACUGUGGACCAGCAGACCCAGCCUUUAUUCCCACAGGUCUGUUAGACUCGAGUUCUCUGGCUUGUCAUUUUUAAAAGGCGCUUUGAGUUUUAAAUGAGGGACAAAAUAUGCCAAGGACCCUCAAGAUACCUACUGAAAUGUAAGCUCACCUCAAUGCUUCCUGGAAAGAAAGCCAUCACUAGGAAAAAUGGCAUCACACCUCACUGGACUAUGGUAAUAGACCCAAACAUGACAGGGUAUUGUUAAAAAUGCUCCUGAUCAGUACCCACAUCUGUUGGGCUAAUUAUUCUCAUUGUCUUGCCGUAGAUGCUUAUAUGGUCUCCAGGGUAGCUGAGUGUUUCACAAUCUUUAAUCUAGGUCUCUUCACAUGUUUCUGAGAGACACAUCUCCACCAUCACCUCCUCCUCUCCUUCAUCCCCCUGGGAUGGCUGAGGGACCUGGUGGUUGGUAGCCCAUUCCAAUUCUGUGCACUGUGGUGUUUGCCCUGGAACAGCAUUCAUCUCACCAACUUCAUCUACCCCAGCUUAAGGCAUGGAAUUUAAGAUCCCACCAUGGAUUGAAGGAGGUGGAAAGCACCAGAGGUCAAUUAUACUCAUCUGAAGGUGGGGAGCCUUAAGUGGGCUAAAUUCCUGUAUGCUUAUGGGGGGUGAACCCAGGGAUAAGCACCCCAAGCUGGACCAUGCUAUGGAACCACUAUGAUGCAAAGGGAGUGUGGCCUUAUGCUUUAUGAAACCCUGUGUGGAGGCAGAACAUCCCUCCAGCAACCUGGGGAUGGCUGGGAAGAACCUGAACCCAAACCUGAAGAUGCCCUUGAGAGAACUCCUUGAGCUUCAAAGCUGAAGAAGGAAGCCUGUCAGUCCACUGCUCUAAAGGACACCAUACAAUAGCCAGGGGAGGUCUUCCUCCUUAGGAGGGUGGAGCAGGAUUCUGCCUAUGUGCCCUGUUUCAGAUGGGAGCCCUGUGGAUUGUCUCUGUCUUUGCCUUCACUCCUGUGCACUGCUUUGGACCUGCUUUUUAGGUAUGCUGAAUAUCCAGACCUAGACAACACAGACAGCAAAUUUUUUUUUAAACUCAGAUCAGUCCAGCAGUUUGCUCAAGCCCUAAAUCCAGUUCCACACAAGAAAGGUACAUUCUGCUGCUUUUUCAAGUGUCUUGGAUUCUAUUGUGUACAAAUUUCCAAAUGAACUGCUUGAGUGUUGACUAAUGCUGCAGCCUGCAGUCAAGCCACGUUUCAGGAGGACGAUAUAUGAGACCCUCAAGGAAAAUACACAGCUCAGCCAUCGUCUGCUGGCAGGAAGGUCAUGCGACGCCACCGGCUUCUGAUGAUGGCAGAACUGCAAAUGUAUAAAGAAGGAUUUUUUCCCUGCACCAUCAGUUUGAUUGGAUGUGUGUCCAGGAGGUUACUCAGGAUAUCUAGCUGGAACUGGCUGGGGGCAGACAGUCCUGGCUGCUGUGUGUGUGCAGCACCCACUCGUUUAAAUGAGGCUGUGUGUUUGCAAUCGAUGGGACUGUCUGAUCCCUGGAUGCUGGGGAGCUCUCUUUUUCUAUUUCCUGCUGAUAUUUACU